rnacentral:rRNA from 1 species
UCGGGAAUUUUGGGCAAUGGGCGAAAGCCUGACCCAGCAACACCGCGUGAGGGAUGAAGUAUUUCGGUAUGUAAACCUCGAAAGAAUGGGAAGAAUAAAUGACGGUACCAUUUAUAAGCUCCGGCUAACUACGUGCCAGCAGCCGCGGUAAUACGUAGGGAGCAAGCGUUGUUCGGAUUUACUGGGCGUAAAGGGCGCGUAGGCGGCGCGGUAAGUCACUUGUGAAAUCUCUGAGCUUAACUCAGAACGGCCAAGUGAUACUGCUGUGCGAGAGUGCGGAAGAGGCAACCGGAAUUCUUGGCGUAGCGGUGAAAUGCGUAGAUAUCAAGAGGAACACCUGAGGCGAAGGCGGGUUGCUGGGCCGACACUGACGCUGAUGCGCGAAAGCCAGGGGAGCAAACG